UUGCCAGCCUUCCAGCGUGCUUGGGUUUAGGGCGACUCAGGGCAUUCCUGCAGAGCUUGCUAGAAUGUUCUGAAAUGGUUGAGGCUUUGCUCUAUCCCUUACUCAGAACAUGGUCAUAAACAUUUCAGACAGUU